rnacentral:lncRNA from 1 species
UUGUCUCUUGGCGAGGGACGGGCGCCGCUGACCCAGCACGUCCAGGACCAGUCCGUCGGCGGCCCCCACGCGGGUCCUGGGCUCCAGCUCUUCGCCGGGGGGCGCCUCCUGCUGUUCAUCCCCUCCCUCUUUUCGAUCCCCAGCUUCCUCCUCUUCCUCCUCCAGCUCCAACUGCAGUGGCAAGGUCUGGGGAUUGAGAGGCCCGGCAUGACUAAGAGAUAUCGUGAAAUUACAACUCAACAAUGAAUUACAGCACAGGCUUUUCACAACUAAGAGACUGUCCAUCAUGGUGCCAGUUUUUCUCAAAAUGGCAUGUGUGCAUGAAAUUCUACAGGCAUAUGGGGUCGUGAUCUGCUAAUCUCCAGUUAUUAUACAAAACUACAGAUACUUGAAAACAGAACCAAAUAAAAAUUCUAGCAGAAGAAGACAAUAUAUGAAAUUUAAUAAUUCAUUUCCUGGGAAUGACAGCAGAAAGGUGAUGACAGAGGAAAGAGCCAAUAAAAUUUGAAGACAGACUCCUUCCUGUUGCCUUGUGAAGAAGGCUCCUGCUUCCCCUUCACCUUCUGCGCGAUUGUAAGUUUCCUGAGGCCUCCUAGCCAUGCUUCUUGUUCACUCUGCGGAACUGUCCUGAGCUGAAAAGAAUAUGAGAAAUCGGAUUUUACGACAUGGUUAUAGGCGGAAGGGAUUUGCCUUGUCUCAGAUGAGACUUUGGACUGUGGACUUUUGAGGCUUACAUUUUUUAUUUUCCUAGCUGCCUAAAAGAAGAUUUGAUAAGAAAAAAUUUUUCUCUUAAUGACCUUAAAAUUUUCUCUUAAUGAACAAGGUCGUUCUGGACCUUGUUCUGGAACAAAAAUGAUCUAGUGAGAUUUAAUCAAUUAUACUCUGGAAGCAUUUGUGACGUCUAUAAUUUUUCCCAGAACGGAAAAUCAGCAACAGAAUCCUUGAGCUCAAAGAUAAUCAAAUCUAACUCCUGAGUUUCACAGACAAAGAUGCGGAGACCUGGGGGAAUAUCGUGACUUGAGAAGAUAACACAGCUGUUCUCUGAGGCAGUAAGUCCCUUGGCAUUACUGCUUUAACAGAAGCUGGGAGGUUUACAGUCUGUUUACUACUUGGGCAAAUCAUAUUAGCCAAGAAAGCAAAGUACUGAUGAAUUCAGUAAACAAGAUAGCCAUUAGAAAAACAGGAUUAAGAAAGGGCUUGAAAGAAGCUUCAAGGUGGUUAUGUUUUAAGAUUAUGAAGCCUUUGAUUCCUAGCCACAGCACUCAGUAGUUGUAAGACCAACUAAACAAUUCACUUCUGUCUUCUGCAAAUUGACUGGAAUUGCAGGACAUACCAUAUACCAUGGAGCUCCUAGGAGAUUCAGUGAAAUAGCAAAUAUAGAGUGUCUGGCAUGGGAUAUGCAGUCUAUCAAUGUUAGCCUUUGCUAUGUAAUCCAAAGUGAUUUAUUCCAUAAGGAAAAAAUGAGUUUGUUUUUUGUUUGCUUUUCUUGAAUUCAUCAGAACACAAGGCAGGGGUUUAUGGAAAUACAGUCUUGAAGAAAAAAAUAAGUAUUUUCCCCUGAGAGAUGGAAACACUUGUGAAAAGAAAUAAGUAGGAGCACAGGAGCUGGAGUAAUCCUCUAGAGCAGGGGUCCCCAACCCCAGUCUGUGGCCUAUUAGGAGCCCAGCCGCACAGCAGGAGGUGAGUGGUAGGCAAAUUAACAUUACCACCUGAGCUCCACCUCCUGUGAGAUCAGCAGUGGCAUUAGAUUCUUAUAGAAGCACGAACACUAUUGGGAACUAUGCAUGCGAGGGAUCUAGGUUGUGUGCUCCUUAUGAUAAUCUAAUGCCUGAUGAUCUGAGGUGAAACAGUUUCAUCCGAAAACAUUCCACCCACCACCCUGUCCAUGGAAAAAUUGUCUUCCAUGAAGGCAGUCCCUGGUGUCAAAAAGGUCAUCGACCACUGCCCUAGAGACUUUUUUUUUUUUUGAGAUGGAUUCUUGCUCUGUCACCAGGCUGGAGUGCAGUGGAGGCAUCUCUGCCCACUACAACCUCCACCUCCUGGGUUUGAGGAAUUGUCCUGCCUCAGCCUCCCAAGUAGCUGGAUUACAGGUGCAUGCCACGACACCCAGCUAAUUUUUGUAUUUUUAGUAGAGAUGGGGUUUCACCAUGUAGGCCAGGAUGGUCUCGAACUCUUGACCUUGUGAUCCGCCUGCCUCGGUCUCCCAAAGUGCUGGGAUUACAGGGAUAAGCCACCACACCCAGCCUAGAGACCUCUUUUAAAGGGACUCCUCAACAGGCUCCUCAGUCCAGGGUCUUUGCCCUCUCCCUUGUGGCUCCUGUCUCUCCAGGGCCAGCCAUGCAAAAGCACGUAUCUCUCAGAUCUCCCUUCCCUGGUGAUUCUUUCCAUUUUAAGGGUUUUAUUGAUAUUCAUAUAGAAAAACAAACAGAAAUAAUAUGUUGGGCAGGAGCAAAGGUUCAGGAAAUUUCAAAAGGAUCUUUUAGUGGUCACUUCCUGGGUUAUGCUAAACUGCAAAUGAUAUUAGAUUUACCUUUUUCAGAAGCUAUUUCUACUUUUAGACCGCCCUGUGGAAUGAUCCUCUUAUUAUUUCUGAUUCUUUUAUUCUAAAAAAUGGAGCAGUCGAAAUUUGCCGAAUGGCCAUGCUAUCACAACCCCAAAACUAUAAAAUUGUGCUAUAUACUUUUUAAACUUUUUUCUUAUAUAUAGAUUUUGUUCACCAAAUCACUGCCUCAAAUGUCUGGGAAAUUGUGCUGAGAGAUAUUAUUCUUAGGUAUUCUGUAUAGUAUUUGAAAGAUUAAGAAGUAUUAAAUAGCAAGCUUAUUAAUAAUUAUUUAUGCUUAUUAGAAACUUAUUAGCUACAGUAAUUUGGGGUUUCCAGUUACAACCAGAUGCUAGACUAAGAUCUUUGAGGAAAAGAACAUUGUCUCAUCUCUGCUUCUCUAACUAGAGUUGUAGGCACAUAAUAGAUUAUCAUUGAAUGGUCAAAUAAGUAAAAGAACUAAUAGAGAAAUAACAAUAAGCUGGCUGUUCAUUGUUCAGUGAAACCAAAUGGUCUUAAUUAUUUUCUAAAUGUAUGUUUGAUCUAAUUGUACUAUCAUUUUGAUCAAGUUCUUUCCUUAACAAGUACUUAAGGAUUAAUGAAAUCCUUUACAUAAAAAGUACUUUUUUUAGAUUAAAAAAUAGUUUGCAUUUUAAAACUCUGUAAAAUGCACACUAAUGUCCAAACUGAUGCCCAAUAUGCAGCCUAUAUCUACAGCAGCUUUUCAAAUAUUUGGAUGCAGAUUUUCAAGUCCUAACAUAUGCUGCUCCAAUUUCAUAACAAAUUUUACUUAGCAAAUGAAACCAACCAUGUAUUUUAGUUCCAAAAGAAAAAUAAAAUUAUUUCCAUAGGGUUACACAAAGAAUAAAAACUGUUGCAUUGAGAUACCAAAAACAUGUAGAACUAAUAAGUUCAGUGAAGUAUAAGAUAACUAAACAAAAUACAAAAAUCAAUAUACGAUAUACAAAAAUCAGUGGUAUUUUCAUACGAUGGUAAUGAACAAUCUGAAAAUAAAAUUAAGAAAACAAUUCUAUUUACAAUAGCAUCCAAAAUAAUAAAACAGGAAUAAAUUUUACAAAAGAAGUGCAAAACUUAUAUUCUCAUUUAUAAUGCUGAAAGAAAUGUUAACAGACCUAAAUAACUGGGAAGAUAUAUCACGUUCAUGGACUGAAGGACUCAAUAUUUUAAGAAGACAAUACUUUCCAAAUUGAUCUACAGAUUCAUUACUAUCCCUAUCAAAAUCUUAGCUCACAUUUUUGCAGAAAUUGAUGAACCAACUCUAAAAUUUGUAUGGGAAUUGAAAGAAUCCAUAAUAGUCAAAACAGUCUUGAAAGACAAAAAAGUUGGAGUACUCACACUUUGCAAUUUCAAACGUGCUACAAAGCUACAAUCAUCAAGACAUUAUGAAACUGGCAUAAAAUUUGACAUAUAGAUGAAUGGAAUAAAAGUGAGAGCCAAAAAUAUAGCCUCCCAUUUAUGACUUACUGACUUUCAACAUGGACGUCAAAAGCAAUUUAAUGGAGGAAGAAUAUUCUUUUCAACAAAUGAUGCUGGGACAACUGAGUAUCAACCUGCAAAAGAAUGAAGUUGGACUUCUAGCUCACACCAUAUAAAAAAAUCAACUUAAAAUUGAUCAAAGACUCUAAUGUCACAGCUAAAACUAGAAAACCCUUAGAAGAAAAUAUAGGCAUAAAUCUUUGUGACCUGUUGUUAGGCAAUGAUUUCUUAGAUAUGACACCAAACACACAAGGAAUAAAACAAACAAAUAGAUAAAUUAGAUUUAUUCAAAUAAAAAACCUUUGUGCUUCAAAGGACAAUACCAAGAAAGUGAAGAGAAACAGAAAGAAAGAAAAUAUUUGCAAAUCAUGAUAUCUGAUAAGGGAUUUGAAUUUAGAAUAUGAAAGAACACUGAGAACUCAACAGUAAAAAGACAACCCAAUUAAAAAAUAGGCAAAUAAUCUGAAUAGACAUUUUUCUAAAGAAGACAUACAAAUGACAAAAAGCCCAUGAAAAGAUACUCAACAUCAUCAGUCAUUAGAAAAAUAAAAAUCAAAGCCACAAUGAGAUACCAAUUUAUGUUCACUAAAAUGACUAUAAUCAAAAAGACAAAUAAUAACAAUGGUUGGCAAAGGUGUAGAGAAAUUAGAAUUUUCAUACAUUGCUUGUGGAAAGGUAAACUUAUACAGCCACUUUGGAAAACAGCUUGGUACUUCCUUCAAAUGUUAAAAAGAGUAACCAUGUGGUCCAGUAAUUCCACUCCUAGGUAUAUACCCAAGAGAAAGCAAAACAUGCUCAAAUAAAAACUUGUUCAUAAAUCUUCAUAGCAGCAUUAUUCAUAGCAGGCAAAAUGUGAAAACAACCCAAAGUCUGUCAGUUGAUAAACAAAAUAUUAUAUAUUCAAUACACAGAAAUAUUAUUGUCUGAAAAUGAAUGUAGUACUGAUGCUUCAACAACAUGGAUUCUACAAAGUGAAUAAAUCUUGCAAACAUUAUGCUACAUUAAAGAAGCCACUCACAAAAACCAUAUAUUGUGUACUGCCUUUUAUGUGAUAUAUCCAGAACAGGGAACUCUAUAGAGACAGAAAGUAGAAUAGUGCCUAGCCAGGCCUGGCCAGGAAGAUUCUGGGAGGCAAUGGGGAGUGACUGCUAAUAGAUACAUGAUUUCUUUUCAGUGUGAUGAAAAUGUUCUAAAAUUGAUUGUGGUGAUGGUUGUAUAACUGUGAAUAUACUAAGAACCAAAGAGUUGUGUACUUUAAAUGGUUUAAUUGUAUGGUACACAAAUUAUAUCUCAAUAAAGCUAUUAAAAAAAAAAAAAAAAAAAA